UGGGGAAUUUUGGACAAUGGGCGAAAGCCUGAUCCAGCAAUGCCGCGUGUGUGAAGAAGGCCUUCGGGUUGUAAAGCACUUUUGUCCGGAAAGAAAUCCUUGGCUCUAAUACAGUCGGGGGAUGACGGUACCGGAAGAAUAAGCACCGGCUAACUACGUGCCAGCAGCCGCGGUAAUACGUAGGGUGCAAGCGUUAAUCGGAAUUACUGGGCGUAAAGCGUGCGCAGGCGGUUUGCUAAGACCGAUGUGAAAUCCCCGGGCUCAACCUGGGAACUGCAUUGGUGACUGGCAGGCUAGAGUACGGCAGAGGGGGGUAGAAUUCCACGUNUAGCAGUGAAAUGCGUAGAGAUGUGGAGGAAUACCGAUGGCGAAGGCAGCCCCCUGGGCAAUACUGACGCUCAUGCACGAAAGCGUGGGGAGCAAACAGGAUUAGAUACCCU
rnacentral:rRNA from 1 species